rnacentral:lncRNA from 1 species
AACUAUUUGAAUAAAAUAAAAAUAUUCAAUAAAAUAUUCUAAUUUCUUGUAAAACAAUAUUUAUAGAGUCAUCGGUAAUUAAUUUUUUUUGUAAUGUAAAAGCUAAAAAAAUUCAUACGUACUACAAUACAGAUAACCGGGAUAUGAAAUUUACUUUACAGUGACUCGUGGGCCCACAAGGAACAAAAGUGCACAAAGGUAGUAAACCUACAGUUUUUGGAGUAGUAAAGCCGACUAUAGCCUUCGACGAUAUUACCUAUCUACACACUAUCCUGAGCCUGAAAUGGGUGGAAAUGAGGGUGGUGAGAUUAUAUAAUCCCAGUGAGUAAACAAAUACCAUCUAAAAUAUCUAAAGCCGAGUAAAUAGAUACAAUUAAAAUAAAUCAUCAUACUAUAAUUUCAUUACCUUUCAACUUAUUUCAACCAAAUAAACAACUAGGCUUAUGAUUUCCUGAAAGCUUGGCUCGUGCCAAAAAUCAUUCUCAUACUCAGUUAUCAGGGAUGCCUUGAUCGAGGGCUAUAUCAAUCGAGUCCGUCAAGGUUGUUAAAAAGUCAUGUACGCAUAAAUUAUGUUUUUAUUUUGAAAACAUAACCGUUCCUUGGCGUUGGCUGAGUUCACCCUCACGUGGUGGUUUGGCGCAAAGUGAAUUCUAAAAGUGUUAGCCUCAGGAGUUUUCCACCUGCGCCUCUCAUAUUGAGGUAAGAUAUAACAGGGUUUACCGUGCCCCUCUAAUAGGCUGGUCCACGAAAACCCGCCCACUGCAGUAAGCUCAUCAUUAUCCCACCAAUCACUAAAAUUCAAUAACAUGAUAUGGCAAUUAUUGUAAUUCACAGCCUUUCAAGGCUAAAUACACAGUUCAUAUAUUUCAACACAAAUACCAAUUCAGCCAUUCAUACAAAUAUUGUCAUAAGCCAGUCAAUUCAAACCAUGAAUUUACAACACCUUAAGUGGUCUCCAGUUACUCUAUUUUCAAAGUCAUCAUUCAAUUUCAAGACAAUUUAUAAAAUCAUUUUAUUUAAACACGUUUUGUUUGUAAAUAGAAAGAUUUACCAUUUAAACUCAUUUUCCAUAAAAUCCACAAAAUCGAAUAAAAAUCACUCUAGAUAAUUAAGACGAUAGUAAGGUUACUCACUGUACUAGGAGUUCGAUAUACUCCUAUUCCCAGUCUUCGGGCACAAUCUCUUUACCUUUAUUAGAGGGCUCACCACUUAUACAUCAUACGUGACAUGAAUUUCAAUAAAUUGUGUCAAUUUAUCAUAAACUAUUUCAGGCUCUCUAAAUCUAAAUGAAUGCAUGCGAUGGGAUGCAAAAUGUCCGAUUAAUCACGUAAAUGUGAUAUUCGACCUAAGUCACACUAUACUCGGUCUAAUCGGUUAAAAUCUCCAAUUUAAUUCCAAAUCAAUUCUUCUCACUUUCUACACUCCAAUUAUACCUAAAUUACCUCAGUGACUGUGAAUGAGAUUCAAUUUAUCAGUCCCGGUUCAAUAAUCACACAUGUCUAUACAUUAAGCAAAAAUUCAGAUUUUCACACCAAAGUUUCCCAUUUAAUUUCUAGCCUCACCAAACAUCAAAUAUCACCAAAAUAUCAUGAAAUAUCAUCAAUUUCAACCACAAUAUCCUCCCUAGAAAAUUUGGCCAAUGAUUGGUAAUGGGAGAAAAUGAAUUUUUCUUGUUGGUUUGUUUCUAGACAUGAUAAACUAACUAAAAACACUAACAUAACUUAGAAUCAAAUCAAUCCAACUUCAUUCUCUCUCCAUACCCAUUCCAACCAGCCAUGAAUUCACCAUGAAAACAUGAAAUCUAACCAUGGAAAAUGAAAAAGAAAGCAUGGGUACUGUAAAUCACAAGUCAAAAUAAAAAAAAUUUACCUUUAUUAGCUUAAUCCCUUGAAAUCCCACACUUUUUCUUCAAUUUUCCCACCUAGGGUUCUUGUUUUUUUCCUUUCCUCCUUUGUUCUUCUUUGGCCGGC